rnacentral:rRNA from 1 species
GACGAACGCUGGCGGCGUGCCUAAUACAUGCAAGUUGAGCGCUGAAGGUUGGUACUUGUCCCAACUGGAUGAGCAGCGAACGGGUGAGUAACGCGUGGGUAAUCUGCCUUUGAGCGGGGGACAACAUUUGGAAACGAAUGCUAAUACCGCAUAAAAACUUUAAACACAAGUUUUAAGUUUGAAAGAUGCAAUUGCAUCACUCAAAGAUGAUCCCGCGUUGUAUUAGCUAGUUGGUGAGGUAAAGGCUCACCAAGGCGAUGAUACAUAGCCGACCUGAGAGGGUGAUCGGCCACAUUGGGACUGAGACGCGGCCCAAGCUCGUACGGGAGGCAGCAGUAGGGAAGCUUCGGCAAUGGACGAAAGUCUGACCGAGCAACGCCGCGUGAGUGAAGAAGGUUUUCGGAUCGUAAAACUCUGUUGGUAGAGAAGAACGUUGGUGAGAGUGGAAAGCUCAUCAAGUGACGGUAACUACCCAGAAAGGGACGGCUAACUACGUG